GGCGGGAGCGGGGGAGCGGGAGGUGAAGGUGAAGAGCAGCAGCGGGCUCGGGGCUGGCUGCGGCUGCUCGCUGGGCUGUGCGGCUGUGCCCAGAGGGCGGAGUUCCCGCACGCUGCUGCCUCACCGGAGAACCUGCCCUCGGCGCAGCGCUCCGCAGCCGGGACCCCACCGCCGCCGCCCUCCCCGCACCGCUCUGUGUGGCCUCGCUUCCCCCCGGGCUCGGGGAGCCGGGAGGUGGCGGAGCGGCGCUGCCCCCAGUCCUCGUCCUCGGGCGGGGUUCCCGAGCACCUCUCACACCGCAAAGCGCGUGUCUAACGCCAGGAUUUUUCUUUUUUCUUUUUGGUCUCUUUUCGAAGCGUUUCCUCCCCCCGUCUCCCCUCCCCCUCGCUCCCAUCGGAGCCACCACCCGCCCGGAGCGGGUCUGCGUCCGCUCUCGGAACCGCCGGAGAAGCUGCAGGAAGAGCGGGGAAGGGCGCACCGUCGGCUGCGAUCACUGGAGGCAAACAUCGAAUUAAUUGGAUCUUGGUGGCUGAGGCUGGUAACAGUGUAUUGAACGGAGUUAUCUGCCGCAAUGCCCAGGUGUCUGCCAGAAUGUCAGGACAUUCUAGACCAGAUCUCUCCUCCUGUCUGCCGGGAGGGCUGAACUGUAAAUCUGUCUCGAGUGAUGCACCCUACACCGUGGGUAGGUGCGUCACUUCGGAGCCGGAGAGAGAUGGGAGCUCAUCCGAGGAGCUUUCAGACACCUCCGUGGGAUGGGUCGUUAGGGAGUGUCGGAAUCCACACGAAAUUGCAGAUCUAACAUGUGAGGAACAUAAAGCCCCGCUCUCUGACAGUGGGAGCGCAAACACGCAGACACGCGGGACUGAGCCUGGUGCUUGCUGAGCACUGUGACUCACGGCUUUGGGCCUCGGUGCUGGUUUGCAAAAUGCCUCACACACGUCCUGCUGCAGUCGAUAGCCGGAAAGCUACCGACCGUGUGAGUCAUGAGCCGUCAGCAAAAGACUUCGCCCGCUCUUCCAGCGCCUAAUAAAAGAAUUAAACAGAUGCCCUUAUCUUCUUCUGAAGAAAAACGAAAGAAAGAAAGAAAAUGUGGCAAUGCACUGUGACUUUCUCAGGAGCGCUGAAAUCCUGCCCCUGGGAUCUGGUUCUUCCCCUCUCCACCGCCGUGCGGCAUUCCCUAUAGCGUACGCCUACCGCCAGGCGCCCUUAAGCAUCUCAACAGAAUUGCUCUUUGGCAUCGAAACUGCUGGCUGCGGCUGAUGCCACGAGUCCGCGCAGAAAAGUGGCCAGGGCUUUUCUCACGGCUGGAGAAGCGUGUCCAUAAAUCGAUAGAUUCUCUCGGUGUGGAACCCGGGGGAGGGGGUCCCGAACAGGCGACCCCUUUUCUCUGUUCUUGUGUUGCCCGAGUCUCUGAGCGGCUUUCCCGAGCGCUGGGACGGCCGAGACACGGGGCCGGGGGGUCGGGGCCGUGCCUGGACUGCGCUCUGCUUAUGGUCGGAGAUUUGUGGGAGUAGAGAGAACCCUGACAGCCAGAGUGGGACCUGGCCGGGAGCGGGCUCCGUGAUGGAGGAUGGCUGCAUGCUCGUGAUGCGAAGGGCGGAACAGGACAGCGCGCUGGCACCGAGAGCUUUUUUUUUUUUUUUUUUUUUUUUUUUGUUCAUUAGAACCAAAAGGAAAAAUGGAG
ensembl:lncRNA